GACGAACGCUGGCGGCGUGCUUAAUACAUGCAAGUCGAGCGAGGCCUUGGAAUUGGAGUCCUUCGGGAUGAAGAGUCCUUGGCCUAGCGGCGGACGGGUGAGUAACGCGUGGGCAACCUACCCCAAAGUCCGGGAUAACAGUGGGAAACCGCUGCUAAUACCGGAUGGCUUUACCUGAGGGCAUCCUCGGGUAAAGAAAGGUUACGCUUUGGGAUGGGCCCGCGUCCCAUUAGCUAGUUGGUGAGGUAACGGCUCACCAAGGCGACGAUGGGUAGCCGGCCUGAGAGGGUGAACGGCCACACUGGGACUGAGACACGGCCCAGACUCCUACGGGAGGCAGCAGUAGGGAAUAUUGCGCAAUGGGCGGAAGCCUGACGCAGCGACGCCGCGUGAGCGAAGAAGGCCUUCGGUCGUAAGCUCUGUCCUUGGGAAGAAGGCGAAGCUUGACGGUACCAAGAAGAAAGCCCGGCAACUACGUG
rnacentral:rRNA from 1 species